GCGGGAUUAGUUCAUUGGUAGAACGCCAGGUUCCCAAUCUGGAGAGACGGGUUCGAUUCCCGUAUCCCGCU
rnacentral:tRNA from 2 species